GGGUUGUGAGGUUAAGCGACUAAGCGUACACGGUGGAUGCCCUGGCAGUCAGAGGCGAUGAAGGACGUGCUAAUCUGCGAUAAGCGUCGGUAAGGUGAUAUGAACCGUUAUAACCGGCGAUUUCCGAAUGGGGAAACCCAGUGUGAUUCGUCACACUAUCAUUAACUGAAUCCAUAGGUUAAUGAGGCGAACCGGGGGAACUGAAACAUCUAAGUACCCCGAGGAAAAGAAAUCAACCGAGAUUCCCCCAGUAGCGGCGAGCGAACGGGGAUGAGCCCAGAGCCUGAAUCAGUGUGUGUGUUAGUGGAAGCGUCUGGAAAGGCGCGCGAUACAGGGUGACAGCCCCGUACACAAAAAUGCACAUGCUGUGAGCUCGAUGAGUAGGGCGGGACACGUGGUAUCCUGUCUGAAUAUGGGGGGACCAUCCUCCAAGGCUAAAUACUCCUGACUGACCGAUAGUGAACCAGUACCGUGAGGGAAAGGCGAAAAGAACCCCGGCGAGGGGAGUGAAAAAGAACCUGAAACCGUGUACGUACAAGCAGUGGGAGCCUCUUU
rnacentral:rRNA from 1 species